GAUGAACGCUGGCGGCGUGCUUAACACAUGCAAGUCGAACGGACAGGCCCUGCUCUUGUGGGGCUCUCGAGUGGCGAACGGGUGAGUAACACGUGAGUAUCAUGUCCUUGUCUUUGGGAUAACUCCAGGAAACUGGGGCUAUUAUCGGAUAGGAGCUCUUGCUGCAUGGUGGGGGUUGGAAAGAUUCGGCGGUUGGGGAUGGACUGGCGGGUUAUCAGCUUGUUUGUCGGGUAGUUGCUUACACAGGUUAUGACGGAUAGGCGGCCUGGGAGGGUUACCGGGGACAUUGGGACUGAGGUACGGACCAGACUCCUACGGGAGGCAGCGGGGGAGAAUAUGGCACAAUGGGCGGAAGCGUGAGGCAACAACGCCGCGUGCGUGAUGACAUCCUUCGGGUGAUAAACCGCUGUCUCCGGAGACGUAGCGUGAGUGACGGUAAUGAGUAAAAAAGCACCGGCUAACUACGUG
rnacentral:rRNA from 1 species